rnacentral:rRNA from 1 species
AAAACUUUCAACAACGGAUCUCUUGGCUCUGGCAUCGAUGAAGAACGCAGCGAAAUGCGAUAAGUAAUGUGAAUUGCAGAAUCCAGUGAAUCAUCGAAUCUUUGAACGCACAUUGCGCCCGCCAGCUCUGGCGGGCUGCCUGUUCGAGCGUCAUUUC